rnacentral:rRNA from 1 species
UACCGGAUAACAACAAUAGCUGCAUGGCUAUUGCUUAAAAGGCGGCGAAAGCUGUCGCUAAAGGAUGGACCCGCGGUGCAUUAGCUAGUUGGUAAGGUAAUGGCUUACCAAGGCGACGAUGCAUAGCCGAGUUGAGAGACUGAUCGGCCACAUUGGGACUGAGACACGGCCCAAACUCCUACGGGAGGCAGCAGUAGGGAAUCUUCCACAAUGGGCGAAAGCCUGAUGGAGCAACGCCGCGUGAGUGAAGAAGGUUUUCGGAUCGUAAAGCUCUGUUGUUGGUGAAGGAGGAUAGAGGUAGUAACUGGCCCCUAUUUGACGGUAAUCAACCAGAAAGUCACGGCUAACUACGUGCCAGCAGCCGCGGUAAUACGUAGGUGGCAAGCGUUGUCCGGAUUUAUUGGGCGUAAAGCGAGCGCAGGCGGAAAGAUAAGUCUGAUGUGAAAGCCCCCGGCUUAACCGAGGAAUUGCAUCGGAAACUGUGUUUCUUGAGUGCAGAAGAGGAGAGUGGAACUCCAUGUGUAGCGGUGGAAUGCGUAGAUAUAUGGAAGAACACCAGUGGCGAAGGCGGCUCUCUGGUCUGUAACUGACGCUGAGGCUCGAAAGCAUGGGUAGCGAACAGGAUUAGAUACCCUGGUAGUCCAUGCCGUAAACGAU